UACGUAGGGUGCAAGCGUUAAUCGGAAUUACUGGGCGUAAAGGGUGCGUAGGCGGUCGGGUAAGUCUGAUGUGAAAUCUCCAAGCUCAACUUGGAAAUGGCAUCGGAUACUAUUCGGCUCGAGGAAUGGAGGGGAGACUGGAAUACUUGGUGUAGCAGUGAAAUGCGUAGAUAUCAAGUGGAACACCAGUGGCGAAGGCGAGUCUCUGGACAUUUCCUGACGCUGAGGCACGAAAGCCAGGGGAGCAAACGGG
rnacentral:rRNA from 1 species